GGGGGAGUUUGGCUGGGGCGGC
rnacentral:misc_RNA from 1 species